rnacentral:rRNA from 1 species
UAUUGACCAANUUACGUGCCAGCAGUCGCGGUAAUACGUAGAAUACAAGUGUUAUUCAUGUUUAAUCGGUUUAAAGGGUACCUAGACGGGAAAUCAAACCAUAAAAGGUAAUAAUUUCCUUGAGUUUUGUAUGAGAAAUAAGAAUUAUUAGAGGAGAGAUGAAAUUUGGUGAUACUAAUAGGACUGGUAACGGCGAAGGUAUUUUUCUAUGUAAAAACUGACGUUGAGGGACGAAGCCUGGGGUAACAAUAAGGAUUAGAUACCCUAAUAGUCCCAGGAGACAAUUAUGAAUGCCAUAGGCUCGUUAUGUUAGCUUAUAAAUGAAAGUGUAAGCAUUUCACCUUACAAGUACAGCGGCAACGCCGAAACUGAAAUCAUUAGACCGUUACUGAAAACAGUAGUGAAGUAUGUUAUUUAAUUCGAUGAUCCGCGAAUAACCUUACCACAAUUUGAAUAUAUUACAAGUGCUGCACGGCUGUCUUCAGUUAAUGUCGUGAGAUUUUGGUUAGAUCCUUUAAUUAGCGAAAACCCUCACUAUAUUUAAAAUUUAAAACUUAUAAAUNNUCCGAUUUAUAUGUAUAUAUAGUANAUCACCGUUA